rnacentral:rRNA from 1 species
GAUGAACGCUGACAGAAUGCUUAACACAUGCAAGUCUACCAAGAAUCACUUCGGUGAGGAAUGGUGGCGGACGGGUGAGUAACGCGUAAAUAAUCUGCCCUUUAGACUGGGAUAUCCUUUGGAAACGAAGGUUAAUACCGGAUAUUAUGAGAUGGACGCAUGUUCAACUUAUGAAAGCUAAAUGCACUAGAGGAGGAGUUUGCGUCCCAUUAGCUAGUUGGUGAGGUAAAGGCUCACCAAGGCCACGAUGGGUAGCCGGCCUGAGAGGGUGAACGGCCACAAGGGAACUGAGACACGGUCCUUACUCCUACGGGAGGCAGCAGUGGGGAAUAUUGGACAAUGGACCAAAAGUCUGAUCCAGCAAUUCUGUGUGCACGAUGAAGGUCUUCGGAUUGUAAAGUGCUUUCAGUAGGGAAGAAAAAAAUGACGGUACCUACAGAAGAAGCGACGGCUAACUACGUGCCAGCAGCCGCCGUAAAAC